rnacentral:rRNA from 1 species
CAUGUAGGCGGUUGUUUAAGUCUGAUGUGAAAGCCCUGGGCUCAACCCAGGAAGUGCAUUGGAUACUGGACAACUUGAGUACGGGAGAGGAAAGUGGAAUUUCGAGUGUAGGGGUGAAAUCCGUAGAUAUUCGAAGGAACACCAGUGGCGAAGGCGGCUUUCUGGACCGAUACUGACGCUGAGAUGCGAAAGCGUGGGGAGCAAACAGGAUUAGAUACCCUGGUAGUCC